rnacentral:lncRNA from 1 species
CAUCAGCCUUUUACAGGGGGGCUGUUGUCUGGAACUCACGGAAGGUCAAGAAAGCGCACCGAAGCUCCCCAUCAUCCUUACCACGGGCACUCCCACACCCUACACUUCCAUCCUUUCUCCGAAAAAAGAGGAGACAGGCCUCUGAGCAGCCCCGAGGGAGGGGGUGAAGGCGAACACCCCACAAAGCGCACCGAGGGCAGUUAUCUGCAGACACGGCUUGGGGGUGCACACGCACAAAGACCCCCACAACGCAAACAAAAGCGAGCCCGUCGCGAUUCCCCGACCCGCCGAGUCCGGCGCAGCCCCGGGAGGCCUUUCCCGGCACUGCCCCGGAGGGCGCAGGGAGCCGGGGGCAGGGGGAGAGCGGAGAAACUGCCCCUUUUACCACCCGGGCGCUGCCCCGGAGCUCACGGGGGUGGCGAGGAAGCCCUCGGGGCUGUGCCGGGGGACAAGGCGACGCAGGGUCCCCGGUGCCCCGCCGGACGGCGAGGCCAUCCAGGCAGCGGGGGUGGCACCGCCCGCAGCCGNCUCAGCACGGGGGGCGCGGAGGACCCGCCGCCGCCUCCCAGCCGAAAUUCGACCGGGGAAGGUCUGGACCGUCUCUUGUUGUAGGGGGAAAAUGUGGUGCUUAUCCAGCCUUGAUACAUGGAAAUUCCUCCUAUCAUGAAGUCCAACUUGGAGAAAUGACAGAUAAUGGUUUUGAAAGCAGACACUCACCUUGAGCAAAAGAAACUAAAGCAUAGAUAAUCAGCAGUCUGUCUCAGGGUUGUCAAUACCUUCUGAGCUGCAGAUCACAGAACCAUAGAGAUUUUAGAACCAUUUAGAUUGGAAAAGACCUUUAUGAUUAUUGAGUCCAACUGUUAGCCAUACUUGCACUGCAGGGUAGGGAAAUGCAUAUUAAUACAAAAUAUGUAACUUUAUAGGAACAUAUACAUAUAUAUUUAAAUAGCAAAAACAUGUACAUUUAUAUUUUUUAUGGAGAUAAAAAUAUGGAAAUAUAUUCUAAAGUUUCUGAAAUUCUUCAGGAAUUAUUAAAUUAAUAAGUACCACACUACACAAUUAACUUGACUAGAAUUUUACUUUUAUUAAAAUAUACUUUUAUUAAAAUAUAUUGCAAGCUUAUUUAUAUAAACAUUUAUGCAUGCAAUAAAAUUCAGUCAUAUGAGUAGUAAUUAAUAUUA